rnacentral:lncRNA from 1 species
AUGCUUGGAUGAGUUAUUUUAAUUAAUGGAGGCUAAUACUUUCUUUAUAUUGGUUUUCAAUAUUAGUAACAAUGAAAACCACUUCGGUUGGUUGGUCUGGUGGUAUUAGCUUCGGACCUGGGAGUGUGCUCCCCCUUAAGGUUUCAAGUUCAAUUAUCUCUAGUGUCAAUUUGGAUGGGCUAAUUUAGCUUCUUCAAAAAAAUAUUAGUAACAAUGAAUAUAGUUUAUUAAUUAUGUUGUCAAUUUUGUAUAUCUUUUUAUUUUUGAGCUUUUAUAUAUGUAUGGUAUGAAUUUCUAGUAUUGUUUCCCUAAACUUUGAUAUAGCGGCCAUUGAGUACAUAGAUUUUGAGAAGAAAAAAAUGAAAAUGAUUAGCUUGAUGUUGGUUAUACUUUUGAUUGGAUAACAUGCUAACAAGUCUUACAAAGAAAUUUCUUGUUUUUAUCUUGGUUCAAACUCUAACUUGAUGAUUUUCUUUUAUGUUUCAAUUUAGUGUGAUAAUAGUCAUAUUGUUUGCUCUACCUGC